AUGAAGAUGUUUACAAACUAAGAAUCCUGGCUGUCUGAUGCUAGGAGUUGAGUAACUUCCUUCCACCAUGUCCUUCUUUCAUGAUGUUUCUGCUCUAGAACCAGACAAAUAUAGGGCAAAAACUCUGGAGACAUGAACCAAAAUAAAUAUCUCUUCUUGUAAGCUGCGUCAGGAGGUAUUUUAUUCUAGCAAUGGAAAGAUAAGUAAUGGCAAUGAAGCGUGAACAUCAGCUUAGAAACGUGAUGUACAGAUCAACAGAUGAGUGAGGAAACAGAAGAGGAUACUGUGCAGUACUACCCAGCCACAAGAGAGAACAAAAUUGUGUCAAUGGCGGAAUUGUGAAUGGACAUGGGGGUCGUUGUGUUGACUGAAAGAAUUCCAGCUCUGCCAAAUGUAUUGCCUUCUCCUUAAUAGGUAUAAUCAAGAAGAAAUGACUACAAAGUUGAAGAGAGACAAUUGUAAGACGAACGGUAGGGUGGAAGCGGAAGGAGAGGCUAUAGGGGUGAGUGGUGAGUUAUGGAGAUUGGACAUAAGUAAAAUAGAUUCAUUGAACUCUCUCCCCUAAAUGUGAAGUUCGGGACUAUCGAGAUCAAAGGAAGUGAUCAGAGGGUGAAAUUGACUGAAGUGUGCUGUGUGUGGGCACAAGUCUGCCAAAAUGAAACCCAUUCACUAGUAUGGCUCAAUCUAAGUAAAGAAAG